rnacentral:lncRNA from 10 species
GCUCAGUGGAAAACAUCAGUUGUGCCCACGCACCCAACUGUUCCAGUAACAUAAAAGCAACAGCAGUUGGAGAUACUUAAGGCAGCCAUGGUAUUGACAGAAAAAGACUCUGGAUUUGGAUUGCAGCUGUAGCAUUUAUUAAAUGCACGUCACAACCUCUCUGAGCUUCGUUUUCCCCACGUUUCAAAUGGGAUGCAGUGGACCCUGUUGCCUACCCGAGAACAACUUCAAAGCAACUUUGAGAGCCUUGUAUGGAAGAUGGCAACUUUGAGAGCCUUGUGUUGAAGAUGGCAAAGCCACAAGAUGGAAAGUGCUUGGGUUCUUGGAUCAUUGUAUGGAGGGGUUCUGCCCAACUAGGAUCACCCAGGCUGGAUUGUCAUAAUGCACAUGAAGUCCAGCCAUGGUGUAGCCAAGGAGACCCACUAAGACCACCAAAAGCUUGGAAAUGAGGAUGCAGGGGCAAAGGACGGCAUUAU